GCUCUUCCUGUUAAAGUAGCCAAUCUUUUGUUUGAGAGCUUAGUUUCCACAAUACAACUUUCUAACAAUCUACUAAGGCUUUUGCUGUCACAAAAUUUAAGGCUAACAGAAAUUAAAUGUAUGAGCAUUACUUCGCCUUGUAUAGAUUUGAAAAUUGUCGGUGAGUUCCAUGAGUUACGCCAUCUGCAGUUAUCUGGGCCUAAUACCGUGCUAAAAAACGUUACAUCUUUUUUUACGAAGAAACGUUGUUUUGAUACCCUUAUUCUAGUAAUUU